UGUGUCUUUCAGGUUUCGAUGAGCCAGUCGGAUAAUGACUUGGCCACACAAAUAAUAGAUUGUUGUGUUGCUAGGAAAGUGAAAGUGUUUGCUUUUGACUUCGAUCUCACCAUCGUCGGCAUACACACUCAGGGCGCAUGGAUGGGAUCUGCAGAGAACCUGGUGCCAUACAUUCAGCCAUGGGCUAGAGCUCUGAUUCAAAAUGUCCUUAAACGCAGUGAUGUUUGCAUGGCCGUCGUUACAUUUUCAUCACAACCUCUUCUAAUCAGAAACGUUUUGAAGAAAGCUUUUCCAAAUUUCACGGCGAAACUCAACAAGAUCGCUAUUUGCGCUAAUACAGGGCUACAAUGCGUACCUUAUUUCACUAUGAAUCAAGCCACUAUGGGCAAAAAUUGUCAUCUUAGUCUAGCUAUGGACCAUAUUGUUGCAACCGAAGGAUUUUCGGUAACGAACCCAAACGUCUUUUUACUGGAUGAUGACCCAAACAACGUUAAGGGUGCUAUAGUGCAAGGCUACAAAGGAUGUGUCGUGACGGAAAAUUUCACUCUCCAGAAAUUGCUAGAUCACGCUAUGAAGAUUCCACUGACGACUAAGCCAAAAUAGAACUUAUUUACGAGUAGACGUAAUAUAUGUCAUCUUUAUAACCAGCGCCUCGUCAAGUUAAACCCUUCAACUAAAAACUUGUCACCAUUUAUAUCAGCUCCGCAAUUUAACAAACUUCCAAUUUAACUAACUCCUGUGUAUCUCAAAGGUUCAGGUUAAUUGUUACAAAAUAGCUUGAGGCGCAGGUUAUGAACAGCCUUCAUAUCAUACUUCAAAUGUUAGAUAGAUAGUUCACUUUCGGUAUCACCUUACUUAUAUUUUUGUCAGAUUUACUGUUUGUAUAUUUUUGAAAUGGAUUUAUAAAUUCUAAUAUAUUGUUGUCAUUUGAA